UACGUAGGGUGCAAGCGUUGCCCGGAUUUAUUGGGCGUAAAGAGCGUGUAGGCGGCCAUGUAGGUCCGGUGUGAAAACUCGAGGCUUAACCUCGAGAUGUCAUCGGAAACCAUUUGGCUAGAGUCCGGAAGAGGAGAGUGGAAUUCCUGGUGUAGCGGUGAAAUGCGCAGAUAUCAGGAAGAACACCAAUGGCGAAAGCAGCUCUCUGGGACGGUACUGACGCUGAGACGCGAAAGCGUGGGGAGCGAACAGG
rnacentral:rRNA from 1 species